CUACGGGUCGCAGCAGUCGAGAAUCUUCCGCAAUGGGCGCAAGCCUGACGGAGCAAUGCCGCGUGAGGGAUGACGGCCCUAGGGUUGUAAACCUCUGUCAGAAGGGACGAAGAACGUGACGGUACCUUCAGAGGAAGCCAUGGCUAACUACGUGCCAGCAGCCGCGGUAAUACGUAGAUGGCGAGCGUUAUUCGGAUUUACUGGGCGUAAAGGGUCCGUAGGGGGUCUGCCAAGUCUGAUGUGAAAUCCUGCGGCUCAACCGCGGAACUGCAUUGGAAACUGGCGGACUAGAGUGUGCGAGGGGUGAGCGGAAUUCCUGGUGUAGCGGUGGAAUGCGUAGAUAUCAGGAAGAACACCGAUGGCGAAGGCGGCUCACUGGCGCAUCACUGACCCUGAGGGACGAAAGCGUGGGUAGCAAACAGGAUUAGAUACCCGCGUAGUC
rnacentral:rRNA from 1 species